AAACUUUAACUACUCUACUAAUAGAAAUAGAAAAUGGAUUCCAAUUUUCUAAUUUUGUGAUUGUUUAUGAAAUCUAAAUAUUGUUUAGAUAGUGAGUAAUUAUUCGAAUACUUUAGUUUUAUCGUACUUGAGUAAAAUCUAUUAAUUACACAUGAGCGCAACUUCAAAAUUCCUGUGUUUCUUUUCUGAUCACAUAUUUUUAGAUGAGUAGAAACACAAAUGCCAUGUUACACAAAGCCAUGCAGGUGUCUUAAAUAGUUUUCGAGUCUACUGUCAAAAGUGAUUGGAUUCCGGCUUUGCAAUGCAGAGUCCUGUGAAAUCAUCAAAUGAAAUUCUGUCGGAACUAUUCGGAGCUUUCAAUGCGAAACCACCAGAAAUCUCCGAACCAGAUCCCAUCGAAGCCUCCCUCGACAAAUCCAGUUCAGACAACGACUCAAAAAUCGGCGACAAAGAUAAGAAGAAGAAGAGCAAACACCAUAAGAGUAAGAAGAGUAAAAAGCAUUCUCAUCGAUCGUCGGACAGUGAUCACAAAAAGAAGAAACGGAAGAAAAAGGAUGAGAAGCAUAAGCGUAAGUCGAAACAUCACAAGAAAAAAUCGAAAACUAAAGAGAAUCUAAAAAGUAGUCCGUCGUCUUCUGACAGUGAAGAGAGUGACAGCAAGCUGAAAACACUGAUUGAUAUCAGUAAAAUAAAAAAAGAGAAAGUCUCAAAAGAUUUGAAACCUGUACUGCUGAAUGAACUGGCCAGUGAGACCCCGGCAAUCCAGCCCGUUGAUCUUUCAGACAUUGAACCUCCCAAAGGGGAGCCACUCAAACCCAUCGUGCAAUCAAUAAAGAAAGAAGAAGAUAAUAGUGGUGCCUCUCUAGUACCUGCUAUUAGUGAUAGUGUUGAAAAAGGAAAGUUGGACAGCAUAGAAAGUGAAAAGGACACUACUGAUACAACAUCGAAAGUUGAAGAUGUUUUUACCGAAAUCGAAAAACCAAAACCAGCUCUUGGAGGAAAAAUAAUGAUAAAGAAUCUCAAAUUCAGUUCAGUAUUUGAAGAGACAGUAAAGCAAGUGGAAGAACAAGCGAGACUGAAAGCAGAGAAAUAUGAAGAGGGAGAAAUUUCAGAUAGCAGUAGUAAUGCGAUAUCCGAGUCCAAGUCGUCUUCACCUGUGCCUUCAAUCGAACUUGAGACUGUAGAGAAAACAAUAAUUGUUGUGAAGUCUAGUCAUAGUAAGCAUUCUCCAAGCAGAAAAGAGCACCGUAAAAGGUCGAGAAGCCCAGAUAAACACAAGCACAAAUCAAGUGGAAUCCACUCAUCGUCUCACAAAUCGUCACAUAGAGACAAAAAAUCAUCGUCCCAUCGCAGUCGAUCUGGCAGUAGGUCUCGUCUGAAAACUAAGGACCCGUAUUCUUCGAAAGAUAAGGACCCAUAUUCCUCGAAGGAAAAGGACACGAAAAAAUGUGCAAAAAGGAGACGAUCAAGUGAGAGGAGUUCAGGUGAUCAUCGUCAUCAUCAUCAUCAUCAUCACAGCAGUCGUGGCCAUAGUCGGAAGGAGAGUGAUCAUCACGACAGUCAUCGUAGCAGUCACAAAGAUGGCGGCAAACAUGGCCGCAAAAGAUCCGCGUCGCCUGCUCGCAAAAAGCCGCAUCGAUCUAGGUCACCGAGCAGAUCGAAGGCCACCUCACCCAGGCGUAAAGAAAGGCGUUCGUCGCAAGAAAAGAUUGAUAAGCAGAAGUUGUUGGAAAUAGCGCGCAGGAAUGCUCUGUCCAUGCUAAAGCAGGCUCCGCCAGUGGUGGGGGCAACUGAGCCAGCAAAGGCAACCAUAGCAGCUGGUGGCAAAACUGUCGACGAACUCACUGAUUUCUGCAAACUUCUUUCUAAAAAAGAUGCUGAUGGCCACGAAUCAAUCAGCUCGAAUACAUCCGACUCAGAAGCAAGCGAGUCUGAAAAACCAUUCCAUCAUCCAUUCCAAAUCAAAGACCGUCCAUCGAGUAUUGUCUUGAAUAUAAGGAAUGCUGUCCCAAUGCCCUUGAAAACGCUUCAAGAGAAGACAGCGGAGCAAUCGAAGGUGCUCAGUCAGCAAUUUCCUGUUUCUAGCGGCCAACUUCACAGGAAAAAAGAAAGCGAUUGGGUUCCGGUCCCCCCUAAGAAGGACACGGAAGAUAUCCCUCUUCCAGCGCUGCCCCCUGCCCUCCCUCAGCCUGUACCGCCUCCUGACAAAACUGCCUCCCCAUUGCUGCCCCCUCUGCCUCCACUCCAGCCGCCUCCAAUGCCUCCCGAGUCCAUUUUCCCCGUCACUAAGGAGGUUACUGCUCCAACCCCUCAGCGAAUUGAUGUCUCUACAAUAAUGACUCAGAGGCUUGCAGCAAUGAAGCAGCUUGAGAGGAAUCCAAGUGAUGUUCAUGCUAAGAAUCAAAUGAACAAGGCUGAAUUACAUAUGCAGGCUUGGGCCGAAUCGAAAUACGAGCCAGGUCAGUUCACUGGCUCAACUGGAGCUCGAAUUCUCACUCCUUACGAGCUUGCUCCCGGCAGCCAAGCCUGGACUCGUCCAGCACUUCUAGCACUUGCUCUUCGAUGUUGAAAACGCGUUUGGAUCUCCAACAACGAUUUUUCAUCAUUUUUGAUGCAGCGUGUGAGCCGUAGUGGAUCAGCUGGUGACUGCGACCCCUGUGAAGAGCGGCAUGGGCAUGACUCUGCUGCAGAAGAUGGGUUGGCGGCCGGGUGAGGGUCUCGGCAAGAACAAGGAGGGUGCUCUCGAGCCGCUCCUGCUCAAGGUCAAGAUGGACAAGAAAGGACUUGUUGCUGACGAAGAGAAUGAACACACAAGAAUGAAGCGAAUGAACCAAGUACAACAACGAGCAAAUCCAAAGUCGUUGGAAGGGAAGCAUCCUGUAUCAUUAUUGAAUGAAUUCUGCACUAAAAGGAGAUAUGGAGUGCCUACCUUUAAUCUCUGCUUUGAAGGAGGGCCUGAUCACAAGAAAACAUUCUUAUUCAAGGUAACAGUCAAUGGCGUAGAAUACAAACCAAGUGUAUCAAGUCUGAAUAAAAAGCAAGCCAGAGUAGAGGCAGCUGUAGUAUGUUUAAAAGCAAUGGGAGUGCUAGAACCAUAAAAAGUAUGAAUGAAAAACUCGACUACAUGACUACCUCACUUCUCGUAGUUUGGAUUUUCAACUAUGUUUUAUUAGUGGGGGGGGGGGAAUUUCGUGGUAUUUGUCACGCCGUAUGUCUCAUCAGUAUUGAGAAUAUGUUCAUCCCAAUAUUGUAUUUUUCGCUGAUGAUAUCCAAUUACGUGAAUUGUGAGUGGAUAAUGAAGUGACGAAUGGUACGGAAAAUGCCAGUCUGAGUGUGAAACAAACCUAUGACCGGUAGCAUACAGAAGUUGCGACAACUCAACCUACAGAGCCCGCUAAUGGUGGGUUCCGAAAAUUCUUUUGCGGUCUGAAAAGUCGAAUCUUUGUACAGGGAUUGAUAAUUUAUACAUACGUUUUUAAAAAUAGAUUAAUCAACGGAUUUUAAUUUGUACAUUAUUAGAAUAAAAUUUAUUUUGAAGUGUA